rnacentral:rRNA from 1 species
UAGAGUUUGAUCAUGGCUCAGGAUGAACGCUGGCUGUAUGCCUAACACAUGCAAGUCGUACGAGAGUUUUUAACUCUAGUGGCGGACGGGUGAGUAACACGUGAGAAUUUGCCUUUAGGAGGGGGACAACAAUUGGAAACGAAUGCUAAUACCCCAUAUGCUUUCGAGUGAAAUGGAUUUAUAUUUAUCCGCCUAGAGAGAAGCUCGCGGCUGAUUAGCUUGUUGGUAAGGUAAGAGCUUACCAAGGCGACGAUCAGUAUCUGGUUUGAGAGGACGAUCAGACACACUGGAACUGAGACACGGUCCAGACUCCUACGGGAGGCAGCAGUGGGGAAUUUUCCGCAAUGGGCGAAAGCCUGACGGAGCAAUACAGCGUGAGGGAAGACUGCCUAUGGGUUGUAAACCUCUUUUUUCAGGGAGGAAUAAAUGACGUGUACCUGAAGAAUAAGCAUCGGCUAACUCCGUGCCAGCAGCCGCGGUAAGACGGAGGAUGCAAGUGUUAUCCGGAAUCACUGGGCGUAAAGCGUCUGUAGGUGGUUUAAUAAGUCAACUGUUAAAUCUUGAGGCUCAACUUCAAAAUCGCAGUCGAAACUAUUA